rnacentral:rRNA from 1 species
UCGAGAAUCUUCGGCAAUGGACGCAAGUCCGACCGAGCGACGCCGCGUGCGGGAUGAAGGCCUUCGGGUUGUAAACCGCUGUCAGAGGGGAGGAAAUCCUGUGGGGUUCUCUCCACAGGUUGACCUAUCCUCAGAGGAAGUACGGGCUAAGUUCGUGCCAGCAGCCGCGGUAAGACGAACCGUACAAACGUUAUUCGGAAUCACUGGGCUUAAAGGGUGCGUAGGCGGCCGUGCAAGUUGGGUGUGAAAGCCCUCGGCUCAACCGAGGAAUUGCGCCCAAAACUGCGGGGCUCGAGGGAGACAGAGGUGAGCGGAACUUAGGGUGGAGCGGUGAAAUGCGUUGAUAUCCUGAGGAACACCUGUGGCGAAAGCGGCUCACUGGGUCUCUUCUGACGCUGAGGCACGAAAGCUAGGGGAGCGAACG